GGAAUGCUAUAGGGUCACCCCAUGGACUGUCCCCAACACUUAAUGGAAGGGGACACCUGGAACGUUGUAGGGGCACCCCAACACCCCAAGAACCGUCCCCAUAUCCCCCAACACCUGGUGGAAGGUGACACCUGGAAUGCUAUAGGGUCACCCCAUGGACUGUCCCCAACACUUAAUGGAAGGGGACAACUGGAACGUUGUAGGGGCACCCCAACACCCCAUGGACUGUCCCCAACUCUUCAUGGAAGGGGACACCUGGAAUGCUAUAGGGUCACCCCAUGGACUGUCCCCAACACUUAAUGGAAGGGGACACCUGGAAUGCUAUAGGGUCACCCCAUGGACUGUCCCCAACACCUAAUGGAAGGGGACACCUGGAAUGCUAUAGGGUCACCCCAUGGACUGUCCCCAACACUUAAUGGAAGGGGACAACUGGAACGUUGUAGGGGCACCCCAACACCCCAAGAACCAUCCCCAUAUCCCCCAACACCUAACAGAAGGUGACAACUGGAACCCUGUAGCGUCACCCCAACAACCCCAAGGACUGUCCCCAACACCUAAUGGAAGGGGACACCUGGAAUGCUAUAGGGUCACCCCAUGGACUGUCCCCAACACUUAAUGGAAGGGGACACCUGGAAUGCUGUAGUGUCACCCCAAAAUCUCAAGGACUGUCCCCCAACACCUGGUGGAAGGUGACACCUGGAAUGCUAUAGGGUCACCCCAUGGACUGUCCCCAACACUUAAUGGAAGGGGACAGCUGGAAUGCUGUAGUGUCACCCCAAAAUCUCAAGGACAGUCCCCAACACCUAAUGGAAGGGGACACCUGGAAUGCUAUAGGGUCACCCCAUGGACUGUCCCCAACACCUAAUGGAAGGGGACACCUGGAAUGCUAUAGGGUCACCCCAUGGACUGUCCCCAACACUUAAUGGAAGGGGACAACUGGAAUGCUGUAGCGUCACCCCAACACCCCAAGAACCGUCCCAUAUCCCCCAACACCUAACAGAAGGUGACAACUGGAACGUUGUAGGGUCACCCCAACACCCCAAGGACUGUCCCCAACACCUAAUGGAAGGGGACACCUGGAAUGCUAUAGGGUCACCCCAUGGACUGUCCCCAACACUUAAUGGAAGGGGACAACUGGAACGUUGUAGGGUCACCCCAACAACCCCAAGGACUGUCCCCAACACCUAAUGGAAGGGGACACCUGGAAUGCUGUAGGGUCACCCCAAAAUCUCAAGGACUGUCCCCCAACACCUAAUGGAAGGGGACACCUGGAAUGCUAUAGGGUCACCCCAUGGACUGUCCCCAACACCUAAUGGAAGGGGACAACUGGAAUGCUGUAGUGUCACCCCAACACCCCAUGGACUGUCCCCAACACUUAAUGGAAGGGGACACCUGGAAUGCUGUAGGGUCACCCCAACACCCCCAAAGACCGUCCCAAACACCUAACAGAAGGUGACAACUGGAACCCUGUAGCGUCACCCCAACAACCCCAAGGACUGUCCCCAACACCUAAUGGAAGGGGACACCUGGAAUGCUAUAGGGUCACCCCAUGGACUGUCCCCAACACUUAAUGGAAGGGGACAACUGGAAUGCUGUAGCGUCACCCCAACACCCCAAGAACCGUCCCAUAUCCCCCAACACCUAACAGAAGGUGACAACUGGAACGUUGGAGGGUCACCCCAACACCCCAAGGACUGUCCCCCAACACCUAAUGGAAGGGGACACCUGGAAUGCUAUAGGGUCACCCCAUGGACUGUCCCCAACACUUAAUGGAAGGGGACAACUGGAACGUUAUAGGGGCACCCCAACACCCCAAGAACCGUCCCAUAUCCCCCAACACCUAACAGAAGGUGACAACUGGAACGUUGUAGGGUCACCCCAACACCCCAAGGACUGUCCCCCAACACCUAAUGGAAGGGGACACCUGGAAUGCUAUAGGGUCACCCCAUGGACUGUCCCCAACACUUAAUGGAAGGGGACAACUGGAACGUUGUAGUGUCACCCCAAAACCCCAAGGACUGUCCCCCAACACCUGGUGGAAGGUGACACCUGGAAUGCUAUAGGGUCACCCCAUGGACUGUCCCCAACACUUAAUGGAAGGGGACAACUGGAACGCUGUAGUGUCACCCCAACACCCCCAAGGACUGUCCCCCAACAGCGAAUGGAAGGGGACACCUGGAAUGCUAUAGGGUCACCCCAUGGACUGUCCCCAACACUUAAUGGAAGGGGACACCUGGAAUGCUGUAGUGUCACCCCAACACCCCAAGAACCGUCCCCAUAUCCCCCAACACCUAACAGAAGGUGACAACUGGAAUGCUGUAGUGUCACCCCAACAACCCCAAGGACUGUCCCCAACACCUAAUGGAAGGGGACACCUGGAACCCUGUAGCGUCACCCCAACACUCCCAAGGACUGUCCCCAACACUUAAUGGAAGGGGACACCUGGAAUGCUGUAGUGUCACCCCAAAAUCUCAAGGACAGUCCCCAACACCUAAUGGAAGGGGACACCUGGAAUGCUAUAGGGUCACCCCAUGGACUGUCCCCAACACUUAAUGGAAGGGGACAACUGGAACAUUGUAGGGGCACCCCAACACCCCAUGGACUGUCCCCAACACUUAAUGGAAGGGGACACCUGGAACGUUGUAGGGGCACCCCAACACCCCAAGGACUGUCCCCAACACUUAAUGGAAGGGGACACCUGGAAUGCUAUAGGGUCACCCCAUGGACUGUCCCCAACACUUAAUGGAAGGAGACAACUGGAACGUUGUAGUGUCACCCCAACACCCCAUGGACUGUCCCCAGCACCGAAUGGAAGGGGACACCUGGAAUGCUGUAGGGUCACCCCAAAAUCUCAAGGACUGUCCCCCAACACCUAAUGGAAGGGGACACCUGGAAUGCUAUAGGGUCACCCCAUGGACUGUCCCCAACACUUAAUGGAAGGGGACACCUGAAAUGCUAUAGGGUCACCCCAUGGACUGUCCCCAACACUUAAUGGAAGGGGACACCUGGAAUGCUGUAGUGUCACCCCAAAAUCUCAAGGACUGUCCCCAAUACCUAAUGGAAGGGAACACCAGGAAUGCUAUGGGGUCACCCCAUGGACUGUCCCCAACACUUAAUGGAAGGGGACACCUGGAAUGCUGUAGGGUCACCCCAACAACCCCAAGGACUGUCCCCCAACACCUAAUGGAAGGGUACACCUGGAAUGCUAUAGGGUCACCCCAUGGACUGUCCCCAACUCUUAAUGGAAGGGAACACCUGGAAUGCUGUAGUGUCACCCCAACACCCCCAAGGACUGUCCCCCAACAGCGAAUGGAAGGGGACACCUGGAAUGCUAUAGGGUCACCCCAUGGACUGUCCCCAACACUUAAUGGAAGGGGACACCUGGAAUGCUGUAGUGUCACCCCAAAAUCUCAAGGACUGUCCCCCAACACCUAAUGGAAGGGGACACCUGGAAUGCUAUAGGGUCACCCCAUAGACUGUCCCCAACACUUACUGGAAGGGGACAACUGGAAUGCUGUAGGGUCACCCCAACACCCCCAAAGACCGCCCCAAACACCUAACAGAAGGUGACAACUGGAACCCUGUAGCGUCACCCCAACAACCCCAAGGACUGUCCCCAACUCUUAAUGGAAGGGGACACCUGGAACGUUGUAGGGGCACCCCAACACCCCAUGGACUGUCCCCAACACUUAAUGGAAGGGGACAACUGGAACGUUGUAGGGUCACCCCAACACCCCAAGAACCGUCCCCAUAUCCCCCAACACCUAACAGAAGGUGACAACUGGAACGUUGGAGGGUCACCCCAACACCCCAAGGACUGUCCCCAACACCUAAUGGAAGGGGACACCUGGAAUGCUAUAGGGUCACCCCAAGGACUGUCCCCAACACCUAAUGGAAGGGGACACCUGGAAUGCUAUAGGGUCACCCCAAGGACUGUCCCCAACACUUAAUGGAAGGUGACACCUGGAAUGCUGUAGGGUCACCCCAACACCCCCAAGGACUGUCCACCAACAUCUAAUGGAAGGGGACACCUGGAAUGCUAUAGGGUCACCCCAUGGACUGUCCCCAACACUUAAUGGAAGGGGACACCUGGAAUGCUGUAGGGUCACCCCAACACCCCCAAAGACCGCCCCAAACACCUAACAGAAGGUGACAACUGGAACCCUGUAGCGUCACCCCAACAACUCCAAGGACUGUCCCCAACACUUAAUGGAAGGGGACACCUGGAACGCUGUAGGGGCACCCCAACACCCC
ensembl:lncRNA